rnacentral:rRNA from 1 species
GUGCCAGCAGCCGCGGUAAUACGUAGGUGGCAAGCGUUGUCCGGAAUUAUUGGGCGUAAAGCGCGCGCAGGCGGUCUCUUAAGUCUGAUGUGAAAGCCCCCGGCUCAACCGGGGAGGGUCAUUGGAAACUGGGAGACUUGAGUGCAGGAGAGGGAAGCGGAAUUCCAUGUGUAGCGGUGAAAUGCGUAGAGAUAUGGAGGAACACCAGUGGCGAAGGCGGCUUCCUGGCCUGUAACUGACGCUGAGGCGCGAAAGCGUGGGGAGCAAACAGGAUUAGAUACCCUGGUAGUCCACGCCGUAAACGAUGAGUGCUAGGUGUUAGGGGGUUUCCGCCCCUUAGUGCUGCASSUAACGCAUUAAGCACUCCGCCUGGGGAGUACGGUCGCAAGCAUGAAACUCAAAGGAAUUGACGG